GCAUGUUUAGAGACUUGCUAUGGAUGCACUUUGGUCACAGUAAGAAGUCAGAGAUUUGGGGUCUAAUCCCCUGUCUGAGCAGGAGCCGUCUGCUUUCACUAGCUGCGAAUCCCGAGACCAGCACUCGAAAGCGUCUUAGACCCGCAGUCCAUUUUUUACUUGUCUUUAAGUGCAAGUGAUGGGAAUUGCUAACCUCGGCUAAGAAAAUUUCAUUUCCCCCAUCCUGCUAAACGGUUCUGGUCGACAUAUGUUUGUUAUCAGAGAGAAGUGCUACGAACACAGAGCCAUUUUCUUAGCAGCUCUUUGACUCUGUGUUACCAUAGUCCCACACGGCAUUGGUCCUUUCCCGUUGGGAAGUCAUGAAUAAGAGACUGUGAAGCUUGCACGUCAGAUCUUCCUCAAUUAAUCCACCAUUAGCAUGUUUGGGAUCCUCUACUGGAUGGUUAACAGCAGCUUUGGUAACUAUAUGCUGUCCAUACCCAAUUAUGCUCUGCUAAAAAUGAACUCUGCAGAACAACCUUCCUGAGCUGUCAGUGUCUCCCGUUUUCCUAUUUUAACGCUUGUGUGUAGUGGCAGGCGACAGAUGGUGUAGAUCAGAUCGAUUUGAUUGCAUUAGGCGAUUUUUUUUCCUCCUCUCCCCCCCGACUCCUUUUCUGGAAGCCCACAUUCAGCUGAGAGGCGAUCGCCGGGGACAUGGGAAGCAAGAGCAGCCGCCGAUGUGUGAAAGCAACGAGCCACGGCCAGCCAGAGGCGCCGGGGUCCCUUCCCGGGGUUUGUUAACAUGGUAAUCCGGCACCAGGAGAGAAAGCUGCUUUCUGCUGCCCAGAGCCCGUUCCCCAUCACACAUCAGAUGACUCCCUGGUUUUACACACAGUUGGAGUUCUGCUUGAAACCUGGAUUUAAAGGGAAUCUGUUGCUGCGUGUGACAUCCCUUGCGAGCUCCCAGGGAGAACUGAUGGAGCAUACAGCUAGGGAAUAGGAUGCCGGAGAAGCGUGGAGGAAGAGACCGGGCAACCACCAGGACGGGAAGGCACCGCGCCCGCUGGAUAUGGGACGGGAUCGCUCGGCUACCCUUGUGGAUUCUCCUUCUGCUAGAGGGGAAUUAUAGUUAUGGAUUUAUUGCCCCGGUGCAGCACUUCCAGCAGCAGCAGCAGCAGCAGCAGCAGCAGCUUUCUGACUCUCUUCGGUGACGGGCUCCCAAGAGAGGUUGAGGGGUGACCUCUGAGCCCCUCCAAAACCAAAGCCUCAUGUCCACGCUCGCUAACUUUACCAGUUCUACAAGGGAAUUACAUCCUGCUGGAGCAUGGACACAUCAGAGGAGAAGCAGCAGCCCAGCUAGCACUGGACAGCUUGGUUUCUGGCACCUGGGGGAGCGGUAUCACGAACUCCAGAAAUGAAAGAGAAAUUGAAGCCUUGCAGCUGGCGUCUCCUGGACAGGCCCUCGCCAUGCGUGGCCACCGUGGAAGCAGCAGAGCUGCGCUCUGAGGGACCUUCUGAAGCCGGCAGCUUCGGGGGCACCGCUGCAAGGUGAGCCUUGGACCUGCCCAUGGUUGGCACUGACUGACUUCGGCCCUGCCACAGCAGACAGAGCGACAUCCCACGUCCCCUGGGACCCUGACCCAGCUCCAUGUCCAGCAGAGAUGCCUGCGGUGCCAGUGCUGGCUUCGCCCUGCUCGCUGCUGCCUGCCUGCCUCCUCCUGCCGGACCAUGGCUCGGCCCAGCCCCGUCCCCACGCACCGCGCCGCCGGGCUGCCUGGCAUUUCCAGCCAUCGCAACGUGCAGCAAAAAUGCAAUAUGAAACUGCUAGCGUGGCGUGAGCAGGCUGAGCUCAGUAGAAGUGCAAUUAAAUAAAAAGUCGUGCUGUAAUACUGGGAGGCUGAUUGGAACCACAAGAUACCAGUGUCAUAUCCUGCGGCUUUUAUGUUGGUAGAUGCAGAUUUUAGCCAUUAGCAUCUAGCUAUCCAACAGAUAACAACCAGAGGAAAUGGACCUGGGGAUCUCCAGUUGUGAAUAACAGAUACAUUUUUGCCAGUAAAUUGUGGACCUGGUAAACUGCCAGAAGGAAACAAUUGUUGAGAUAUGGAAGAAUAUGAUCAGGCAUUUAAUAUGUGUCAGCUUCUAACUAUGUGUAACUUAAAGACACUCCCUGAUUACUCACAAAACAUUUAAAACAGUAUGUCAAGAGAACUCUGACACCAGAGAACCCUUGCGUGGCUCUGUUGCCAACUCCAAAUUCAGGCAAGUAAAUAAGUAGCAAUCACAAGACAGGACUGACGUAUCUGUGCGAACAGUAACAAAACCCAGGGCAGGUAUCACGGUAUCUAGGUGUGGGUAAAAUGCUAUGAGAAAAGAAUGAGAAAUAAGUAAAAAAUACAGUAAUGUAAAAUGUACCUGUUAUUAACUUCUAUAAAAUCUUAACAGCUAGGAUUUUUGAAUGUGGUAUUUAGAUGAAUGUAAAGAGAGCAACACAUUGUGUUUUUCUCCAGAGCAAAAUGAAAUCGGCAUACAGAGCAAAUUAUAAUACUUAAUUCUUCUAGGGCAAAUUCCAGUUGAGGAUCAUGAAGUAAUUUGAAAAUAUUAAUGAAUUAGCCUCACAGCUAGCUUUCAGGUAGAUAAUAAUGAUAAUUAUUACUACAAACAAAUAUUAUCAUUCUUGCUCUGAAAUGAAAAUUGAGGCACAGAGAUUUUAUGUAUUUGUCCAAAGUGUUUUACUACUGUAACCAUCCCUCUCUAGAAUUAUUGUAUGUGAAGCGUAUCCUUUUCCAAAUACUGUAUGCGACAUAUUAUUCAGUUUUUGAGCUCUAAAAGCCAAGCAGCUGAGCUUCCUUAUGAUACAGUGUCUGUGAACAUCUCCAUUUGCAUUUGAAUUCUCAAGCAGAAACAAUCCUGCUUAAACGAUAUAAAGAAAAAAGGAAUCAUGAAAAUCAGAGCAAAAUCUGUCAAGGACCCAUCUGUGAGUGGGUAUCAGAAUAUCGCUAAGAUGCUUUGAGGAACAAAGUUCACUCCAAGUCUAACACAUAGUACUUUUUGUCUACAGAAUUAAUUUAAGAUGGGUGAAAUGAGGGCAAAUAACAUGAAAAACUGUUCCUCUACUGACAAAUGCAGGAAAUCAGUAUCUCUGCUGCAAUGGUGAUCUUGUAUUUGGUCCAUGCACACUUGCUUAAAUACUAAAGGGUUUACAUGGCAAAAUACUCAGCAUGCUCAUGUCUCCUUUUGAUGGGCAUGCAUACCUACUGCUUCCUGAGGAGUGUUGGGGAGCAAGGGCUCUCUGGCCCUGGCAGGAUGAGGACUUGGGUUAUGGAUGCUUGUGGCAAAAAGCAAGCUUUCAUAGCCUACUACCUGAAGCAGUGCGGAAACAAAAGGAUAGACUCCAUCCUGGUGUUGAAAAUAUUGCUAAAACCACAUCUCUUUCCUCCUGAACUGGAAUGCAUAAAAGUUAGGAACACCUAUUGGUAGGCUAUUUGUAUCUCCUCUUCAGCAUGUAAAUUCCUGAGAGCCUUCAUCUUAGCUCUUUGCUCUCACACAUGCAUAUUUGGAAUCAUAUUAACUACAAGAAAUAGGAGAAAACUGGCAUUAACAUUAUUCUAUUGCACCAUAUUAUUUUUCCUUCAAAUUUUCAACUGUUAGAGUAUGCAAAUGUUCAGUUAACUGGUCCUCAUGUUUUCUCUUUAUUGAAUUGCUUUCACUAUGGCAAAUUCACUAAUUUAUUGAAUUGCUUUCACUAUGGCAAAUAAAUAUUCAUAAAGAAAUGUGGACAAUAAAUCAUUUCCAAUAGUUGAAAGCCAUUUUCGUUCUAGACUGAAUAUAUAUUCAGCUGUGACUUCCUUUUGAUAUUUCAUUCAAAAGACAGACUUGUAGAAGGACAAUAAUGAUAAUGUGUCAAGUAGUAGUUAAAACAGGGGUUAAUGAUUAAAAACAUUUUGAUCUA